rnacentral:lncRNA from 1 species
AAGUUUUUUUAUCUUGAUUUUGAUCUUGUUGUUGGACACGUCGUUUUUGUAAAAUCCGUGCUUGUUCACUCUCAAUCAAAAGCUGCCUUUUGAAGCCAAUCUUUCCAAGUUAUUACCAAUGUGGUAAGACCAAACAUCGAUUAGAGAUUGGUUUUUUGAUUCAUCUCUCCGUGGUGAUGGUUCUAAUUAGUUGUGUGCUUAAUUGUCAGAUGAAGUCAACGCUCCAUUCUUCUCAGAUUAAUUUUAUUGAUGUAAGCACUAAGUAGAGUUUUGAGUGCUUAUACUCAGGUUUAGAGUGACGAAUUAGGAUUAGCAACUGAUAAGCUUAUAACAAUACGAGUGGCUAAUGUUUUUGUGUAUUGCUAUUGCAUAGUGUGUUGCAGAACAAUAAGUCGGCUAAGAUGAAGCAGAACAAGCUUGGUCUCCGUCGUGAACAAUGGCUUUAAAGGGUUCCUGGCUUGAUACUUUUUGGUCUUGUAAGAUUAUUUCAUUGCCUCAAAAACAAUUUCAGUUCGUUCUUGUUUGCAGCUUGAGUCUAUUAAUUCUGUAGUAUCACUUGAGAAGGUUAUAGUUGAUUUAUCAGCUCAGAUUUAACAUUUUCAUAGUUGAGUUAUAAUGCCAACUUGAUCGAAUAUAUGACUAUAUGAUGAAGGUUAUCUUUUGAUGUGUCAUGUAUAGUUCCAUCAUCAACAUGCAUCUUUUGAUGUGUCAUGUAUAGUUGCAUCAUCACCAUCACCAAAUGCAUACACGUUUGUAAUUGUGGUUUACUUGUCGGCUCAUAUUUGUAUGUUUCUUAUAUAUAUGAAAGUGGCUGCAGUUGAUGUUGUUGCAAUUCCUUCUGAAACAAACUAUGUAGCUUUUGAUGCUUUACGUCUUGGUCGCUUUACUCAACAGGUUGUUGGUCGCCUACUUCGUUUUUGGGAUGCUCGCAACAUCAAGAAAGAUGGUCAAUUUCAUGGGCAUAGUCCUCCUGUUACUCAAUGAAAAAGUAAAUCUUUUUAGAUGUUUAAUGUAUUUUUG